rnacentral:rRNA from 1 species
ACCCUUAGAUGUUCUGGGCCGCACGCGCGCUACACUGAUGCAUUCAACGAGCCUAAAACCUGGUCUGAUAGGGCUGGGUAAUCUUUUGAAAGUGCAUCGUGAUUGGGAUAGAUGAUUGCAAUUCUUCAUCUUCAACGAGGAAUGCCUAGUAAACGCAAGUCAUCAGCUUGCAUUGAUUACGUCCCUGCCCUUUGUACACACCGCCCGUCGCUCCUACCGAUUGAAUGAUCCGAUGAAUACCAUGGAUUGAGAGUACGAAUAGGUUCGCUUAUUUCUGCUACUCAAGAAGUGGAGUAAAUCUUAUCAUUUAGAGGAAGGAGAAGUCGUAACA